CCAAAGGCAGAUGGCCAGGCUGGCAAUGUCCAGAAAGUGACAACUCCUUGGUUACCCAAUUACACCUUUGAAGAAAAAUACGAAGUACCCAAAUGCUUCCAAUUAUAAUAUUCACUGUGCCGGGGAAAGACAAAGUCAAAUGUGUUAAAGGCCUAAUGAGGUGUGUGGAAGCAACCUCCCUCUGCAGUUUAUGGCUUUUUCACACUUAGUUCUCACUGCUCAGUCAGCAGGCACGAAGGGAGAGGUGAAGAAAAUGAGUAGUUGUUUUCUGGCCCAUGAUGAUGACAGAAAUAGAAUCAUAUCAAUGCUUUGAUAUUUCACACAAACCUGAUGGAAGAUUCUUAAAUAUUGUUUUGAUUUUGGCAGAAACAUCCUAAAAGAUUUCAGCCUCCUUCCCCCCAAACUCUAGCCCCGAGAGGAGAAACAAAAACCGACAGUACAGGCAAUUCCCAAGAGAUGAAACUUGCUGAAGGGACAGGCAGUAGACCACACAAAAGGAAGACUGUUGAGCUGCUUGAAGGGGCUUACUCGGUCUGUUUACAACAAGAGCACGCAUCCUGAUUGUAAUAAGUGAGCUUGGAGGGCUAGACAGGCUCUUUAAUCUCAGAAAUGACACUGUGAACUCCAGUUCACCUGCUCGAUUUAUUUACAUUGCUUUUGCCCGCUAACAAAUCCAACUCUCCAUCAGAUUAAUCAACAUUUAUCAGCCAGCGGCGGGAGCAUCAUUUCAUAACGGACUGUGCAAUUCAAUAGCAUAUGCACAGCGGGAUAAAGGAAGAGGAUGGUCAAGUCUGAGCUUUGAGGUUUAAGACUGCUUAAAGAAACCAAAGAUCAGAGAGUGAUUACUGGUGUGAGCAAAUUGGAGCAGAAUCUGCCUGAGUUUGGAAUAAGAGAAAAAGCCUGCAUCUCAAGGAAGUUUGAAUAAUAAAUCUCUGCAUAAAGCUAAAAUUCCUGAAGGAUGAUACAUUCACUGAAGAAUUAGGAAAAUGAAAUGCUUGCCCACAAAAACAAAACAAAGCAAGUCAAAAACUAACCAACCAACAAACAGAAAAUAAUCCAAAAUAUUCCUCUUUCAAUUAUUUUUAUAUCGAGCAGGAAAACAAUUUUUAAAAGGAGGUAAAACAAUUUGAAAUUAGCCACCAUAAUUGAAUAUAUUCAUAUACUAUGAUGUGGGUAGCCAUACUUGUGUAUGUAACCAGCUUACCCUUGUUUUCUUAAUCUUUUAUGUUAUCCCCUUUUCCAAAGUGUUUCAGGUUGAACAAUACACUAAGUGAUCAUCCUAUUUUAACCCAGAAACCUAGCCAUUAUACUGAAGGUCAAGUUGCCAAAAGAGACCACAUGUACACUAUCCAGUUGACAGUCCAGUUGACAGCCCAAGCUGACAGCUAACAUCAGCCAACAGCCCUAUGAAUAAGCCAUCGUGGAUGCUCAGCUAAUCAAUCCUUCAGAUAACUUCAGGCCUAACCAUCAUUUGAUGAUAACUGCAUGAAAGAUCCUAAACAACAGUCUCAUAGCUGAGCCCAGUCAACCCAUAAAAUCAUGACAGCUAUUGUUUUAAGCUACUGAGUUUUGGGAAUAUUUUGCUGUGCAGCAGUAGAAACCAGAACACUCUUUAAACUAUACUAUUCUUUCAAAUGUUUAUCUCAGUAUGUUUUGUAAUUGUGGACCUCAGUAUGUAAAUACACUGACUCAGUGAUGUUCUUUACAUCUUCAAACGAUGCCUGUGAACGUUAACUACCAGACAGGUCGCAUCAUCCUCCAUGCACCUAUUAUAAUAUUGGUAUUUGUGGAGGCACAAAUACCAAUAUUAUAAUAGGACUUAAAAUAUCUGAAUGUACUUAUGGGGGGGAUAGAGAAAAAAAUGACCCCCAAAACAGACAAAAAGCAAAGGAGAAAACAAGCUGACUUUGGUCAAAAUCUCUCAGGUCACCAAAAACCAGCUUCAUAGUUAGAAGGACCAAAAUCCAGGCCUACCCAGGGACUGAUAUAGGUGCUUGGAAUUCUAUAACAAUGAUUUGUGAGAUCAUAGCAAGAAAUGAGCCCAUUAUGUGCUGAGAGCUAAUGCUCAGUGGUUUUUUUCACUUUCUGAUCUAAGAACUUUUAAAAAAAGAAGAAGAGGAGGGGGCAAAGAGCUUUUUGUUCAUAUGGGUUACAGUGAUUGAUAUUUACCUUACUAGAAAUCAAAACCUAUAGAAUGCUUUAAAAGAAAAAAAAAAAGAUGAUCACUGAAAACUGAAAAUGUAGUUCAGUGGGGAGACAGAUCUGUUUUGGCAACAACAAAGGAAACCUUUUGAAAGACUUGAACCUUGUGACAGGCAUUAUUCUAUAUGUGUUUCAUGUGAUGUUCAUGACAACCUCACAAACUGCAAGAAUGGAUCAUCAGGUUUGAUCUUGUAACCAAAAGCUGUGCAAGUACCAAGAUCUGUGUUAUCUGAAAACACCAGCAGCAAAAGAAUAGUGGCAUCUGAUCUCACAGAUUUUAUUUUCUAGUAUCUGGUUCUUUCAUUGGAGAGUCAGAAGAACUCUUAGCCAUCCAACACUUUCAUUUUAUGGAAAGCUAUAGAAGCUUGCUGACUCCAGAUCAUUUAAAUGACAGUCAAGAAAUGCUACAGCCACUCCCCUGGAACCACUGGAGUAAGGAACAAAAGCAAAGUUUUGAGCAUCUAACUUCCUUUUACUAAGUCUCCUAAUGCAACAAUUAUCUGUGAGCACACCAACAUGUACGGGAGGAGUAAGGUGCCUGUACACCCAACAUACCAAGGCUUGAAGCUUAGAUAAACAGUUUUAUGAAAUUCCUCCA